CUCCAGACUCCUACGGGAGGCAGCAGUGAGGAAUAUUGGUCAAUGGCCGAGAGGCUGAACCAGCCAAGCCGCGUGAGGGAUGAAGGUACAGAGUAUCGUAAACCUCUUUUGUCGGAGAACAAAACCCGGGACGAGUCCCGGACUGCGUGUAUCCGAAGAAAAAGCAUCGGCUAACUCCGUGCCAGCAGCCGCGGUAAUACGGAGGAUGCGAGCGUUAUCCGGAUUUAUUGGGUUUAAAGGGUGCGUAGGCGGUCUGUUAAGUCAGCGGUAAAAUUGGGGGGCUCAACCCCGUCGAGCCGUUGAAACUGGCAGACUUGAGUUGGCGAGAAGUACGCGGAAUGCGCGGUGUAGCGGUGAAAUGCAUAGAUAUCGCGCAGAACUCCGAUUGCGAAGGCAGCAUACCGGCGCCCAACUGACGCUGAAGCACGAAAGCGUGGGUAUCGAACAGGAUUAGAUACCCUGGUAA
rnacentral:rRNA from 1 species